rnacentral:lncRNA from 1 species
CCAAAUGACCCCUCGUGACCCCAAUGACCCCUAAUGACCCCUAAUGACCCUCAGCCUACACGUACUUUGUGAAGGGCUCCCGCUAUUGGCAGUUCGACAACCGCCAGCUUCGCGUCACCCCGGGUUACCCCAAAUCCCUGCUCCGCGAUUGGUUGGGCUGCCCGGAGCCCCGCCCACCACCCCGCCCAGGCCACGCCCACGCGGUCACAAGCCACGCCCACGAUUCCCAGGCCACCCCCACUCGUGUGAAAGCCACGCCCACGGGGCCAAGGCCACGCCCACCCCGACCAGGCCACGCCCACACGGUCUCAAGCCACGCCCACAAUUUCCAGGCCACGCCCAGCCUUUCCCAACCACGCCCACCAAGCCGAAGCCAUGCCCACUCUGUCAUGGCCACGCCCCCCAUAUGAGCUAUGAGGAGCUGAAGCCACGCCCACACCGCAAAGCCCCGCCCCCCUCCCCUGUGAUGGGAACCAAUGGAAGCACGGCUUUUUCUGUCUGUGUGGGCGUGGCUUGGCUCGACCACGCCCUCCUGCUGCAGUCAAUGGGAGACAGAGGCCACGCCCACUCUGCACUGGCCACGCCCCCCCAAUGGCCGAUAGGGUUU